rnacentral:rRNA from 1 species
CCUACGGGGGGCUGCAGUGGGGAAUAUUGCACAAUGGGGGAAACCCUGAUGCAGCGACGCCGCGUGAGUGAAGAAGUAUUUCGGUACGUAAAGCUCUAUCAGCAGGGAAGAAAAUGACGGUACCUGACUAAGAAGCCCCGGCUAACUACGUGCCAGCAGCCGCGGUAAUACGUAGGGGGCAAGCGUUAUCCGGAUUUACUGGGUGUAAAGGGAGCGUAGACGGCAGCGCAAGUCUGGAGUGAAAUCCCAUGGCUUAACCAUGGAACUGCUUUGGAAACUGUGCAGCUAGAGUGCAGGAGAGGUAAGCGGAAUUCCUAGUGUAGCGGUGAAAUGCGUAGAUAUUAGGAGGAACACCAGUGGCGAAGGCGGCUUACUGGACUGUAACUGACGUUGAGGCUCGAAAGCGUGGAGAGCAAACAGGAUUAGAUACCCUAGUAGUC